rfam:Schistosoma rodhaini strain Burundi genome assembly, scaffold: SROB_scaffold0008180
GCACUGCUGAAGAGUCCCACAACAGGACUAAACGGCUGUCCAGUGC